UGGAGGCAAAUCCCUAAAAGCCAUCCCAGUUCGGAUCGCAGGCUGCAACCCGCCUGCGUGAAGUUGGAAUCGCUAGUAAUCGUGGAUCAGCAUGCCACGGUGAAUACGUUCCCGGGCCUUGUACACACCGCCCGUCACACCAUGGGAGUCGGUAACACCCGAAGCCUGUAGUCUAACCGCAAGGAGGACGCAGUCGAAGGUGGGAUUGAUGACUGGGGUGAAGUCGUAACAAGGUACC
rnacentral:rRNA from 1 species